GCGUGCCAGUGAUGAUUACAGAGAUGAAAAUGGUGAAUUCUGGAUGAGCGUGUUCGCGUGCUGCUUAGUGCGCGCGCAGCCGUGGUGAUAUCCCUUACUCAGUUCAUCUGAGGCACGC
rnacentral:snoRNA from 1 species